UCUCUAGUAGCAUAUGGGUUAGUACAGGCGCCUGUAACGCGUAAAAGCUGGGUUCGAUUCCCAGCCAGAGAG
rnacentral:tRNA from 1 species